rnacentral:lncRNA from 1 species
CUGAGGUGUACUGGAGAUCUUUCCAUGCUGUUGUACUAGCAUCUAAAUCAUUACUUUUAACAGCUGUAUACUUUGUGAAAAUAUGUAACAUUUAUAAAACCUUCUCUACAGUUGUGAAAAUACUACAUUUCCAGAUGUUUAACAUUAUAAAAUAUAGGGAGGAACAGUCAUUAUAUUUUUCUAUUCACAACAUUUCAUGAUAUUUUAAGGUUAAAUACCAAGAAGAAGAUUUAACCCCAUAAUGGCAGUGAUAUAUUUUCUUUAAUUGCAUUAUCAAGGGAAGGAAAGAAAAGACAUAGUAAUUCUCCCAGUAGUCAGCACACUAAUAUCAAAAUUAUAAUAUUUUAUUCCAUUCAUGUUGGUAAGAAAUAAAUUUAAAUGGAUUAACUUGUAGUUCCCUGGUUAUUUGUCAUGUUACAAGUCAGUUAGUACUUACUAUGUUAUAUUUUCUUUUCUAAAACCUUUAAUAUGAUUUUCCCACAUAUUGUUGUUUUCUCAAUUGAUUUGUUAAAGUUAUACAUUCUGAAUACUAAAUAAUUACCACUUCUGUAUCCUUGAA